GCGUAAAGGGGAUCGCACGCAGGUUGAUCGCGUAAGUAAGAUGAUAAAUGGCCCGUGCUUAUCCUGGUAACUGCAUUAGAGACUGACAGGAUUAAGUUUCGUGGAAGGGGAUAGCCUGCCAGAUGUAGCGAUGAAAUGGGUAGAGAUAGGGACACCAGUCGCUGACGAAGUUGUCUCGCUGUUUCAAGACUGUCGCUCAGGUGAGAAAGCGUAGCGAGCAAACAGGAUUAGAUACGUAGGUAGUGCACGCCGUAAUGGAUGUCGACUUGGAGGUUGAUCCCUUGAGGAGUGGCUUCUGGAGAUAACGCGAUAAGUCGACCGUGGGGAGAGUACGGCCGCAAGGUUAAAACUCAAAUGAAUUGACGGGGGCCCGCACAAGCGGUGGCGCAUGUGGUUUAAUUAGAUGCAACGCGAAGAACCUUACGUACUCUUGACAUCCAGAGAGCGCUCCAGAGAUGGUUUGGUCCUUCGGGAACUGUGAGACAGGUGCUGCAUGGCUGUCGUCAGCUCGUGUUGUGAAAUGUUGGGUUAAGUCCCGCAACGAGCGCAACCCUUAUCCUUUGUUGCCAGCGAUUCGGUCGGGAACUCAAAGGAGCCUCCCGGUUAUAAUCCGGAGGAAGGGGGGGAGGACGUCAAGUCUUCAUGGCCCUUUGGAGUAGGGUUACACCCGUGUUCCAAUGGCGCAUCCAAAGAGAAGGGACCUCGGGAGAGCAAGCGGACUUCAUAAAGUGGGUUCUAGUCCGGAUCGGAUUCUCCAAUUGGACUCCGUGAAUUCGGAAUCGCUAGUAAUCCAGGAUCAGAACGCCACGGUGAAUACGU
rnacentral:rRNA from 1 species